GAUGAACGCUGGCGGCGUGCCUAAUACAUGCAAGUCGAGCGAACAGACGAGGAGCUUGCUCCUCUGACGUUAGCGGCGGACGGGUGAGUAACACGUGGAUAACCUACCUAUAAGACUGGGAUAACUUCGGGAAACCGGAGCUAAUACCGGAUAAUAUAUUGAACCGCAUGGUUCAAUAGUGAAAGACGGUUUUGCUGUCACUUAUAGAUGGAUCCGCGCCGCAUUAGCUAGUUGGUAAGGUAACGGCUUACCAAGGCAACGAUGCGUAGCCGACCUGAGAGGGUGAUCGGCCACACUGGAACUGAGACACGGUCCAGACUCCUACGGGAGGCAGCAGUAGGGAAUCUUCCGCAAAGGGCGAAAGCCUGACGGAGCAACGCCGCGUGAGUGAUGAAGGUCUUCGGAUCGUAAAACUCUGUUAUUAGGGAAGAACAAAUGUGUAAGUAACUAUGCACGUCUUGACGGUACCUAAUCAGAAAGCCACGGCUAACUACGGG
rnacentral:rRNA from 1 species